rnacentral:rRNA from 1 species
AUGUCUAGUAUAAGCAAUCUAUACAGUGAAACUGCGAAUGGCUCAUUAAAUCAGUUAUCGUUUAUUUGAUAGUACCUUACUACUUGGAUAACCGUGGUAAUUCUAGAGCUAAUACAUGCUAAAAACCCCGACUUCGGAAGGGGUGUAUUUAUUAGAUAAAAAACCAAUGCUCUUCGGGGCUCCUUGGUGAUUCAUGAUAACUUAACGAAUCGCAUGGCCUUGUGCCGGCGAUGGUUCAUUCAAAUUUCUGCCCUAUCAACUUUCGAUGGUAGGAUAGUGGCCUACCAUGGUUUCAACGGGUAACGGGGAAUUAGGGUUCUAUUCCGGAGAGGGAGCCUGAGAAACGGCUACCACAUCCAAGGAAGGCAGCAGGCGCGCAAAUUACCCAAUCCCGACACGGGGAGGUAGUGACAAUAAAUACUGAUACAGGGCUCUUUUGAGUCUUGUAAUUGGAAUGAGUACAAUUUAAAUCCCUUAACGAGGAACAAUUGGAGGGCAAGUCUGGUGCCAGCAGCCGCGGUAAUUCCAGCUCCAAUAGCGUAUAUUAAAGUUGUUGCAGUUAAAAAGCUCGUAGUUGAACCUUGGGCCUGGCUGGCCGGUCCGCCUCACCGCGUGCACUGGUCCGGCCGGGCCUUUCCUCCUGGGGAGCCGCAUGCCCUUCACUGGGUGUGUCGGGGAACCAGGACUUUUACUUUGAAAAAAUUAGAGUGUUCAAAGCAGGCCUAUGCUCGAAUACAUUAGCAUGGAAUAAUAGAAUAGGACGUGUGGUUCUAUUUUGUUGGUUUCUAGGACCGCCGUAAUGAUUAAUAGGGAUAGUCGGGGGCAUCAGUAUUCAAUUGUCAGAGGUGAAAUUCUUGGAUUUAUUGAAGACUAACUACUGCGAAAGCAUUUGCCAAGGAUGUUUUCAUUAAUCAGUGAACGAAAGUUAGGGGAUCGAAGACGAUCAGAUACCGUCGUAGUCUUAACCAUAAACUAUGCCGACUAGGGAUCGGGCGAUGU